rnacentral:lncRNA from 1 species
AAAAGGAAGGAGAAGAAGGAGAAGAAGGUUUGGGAGCUCUUCUUCACCUCAUCUUUGGCUUAGGGCUUGCUUUGGAGCAAACCCUAGAGGUAAGCCUCAACCCUAAUAUGAGAUUUCUAGGGUUUAAGGUUUUUGGAUGGUUUUUGUUGCUUUAAUUGGUUCAAAUGGAACCUAAUGAGUUUAGAAAUGAUGGAUCUAGCUCAUAUUGAGGCUAGCACCCAUGGUUUUC